CUUGGUCAUUUAGAGAAGUAAAAGUCGUAACAAGGUUUCCGUAGGUGAACCUGCGGAAGGAUCAUAAUGGUGCUUGCAGAAAUGCUUGCACGGCGGCGGCCUUAAAACGCGCCAAUGGCACCCUUUGUUUACGAGUACCGUUCGUUUCCUCGGUGGGCUUGCUGCCAUGAGGACCAACAAAAACCUUUUGUAGUAGCAGUAUCUUCAGUAAAACAAAUAUUAAAACUUUCAACAACGGAUCUCUUGGUUCUGGCAUCGAUAAGAACGCAGCGAAAUGCGAUAAGUAGUGUGAAUUGCAGAAUUCAGUGAUCAUCGAAUCUUUGAACGCACAUUGCGCCCUUCGGUAUUCCGUUGGGCAGCCUGUUCGAGCGUCAUUUAAUCAUUCAAGCUCUGCUUGGUGUUGGGUGUUGUUCCGCCUCAGCGCGUGGACUCGCCUUAAAUUCAUUGGCAGCCGGUUGUUGGCUUCGUGCGCAGCACAUUGCGUCGCGAUUCUGGCAGGCCUCCUCCAUUAAGCUUCUUUUAAGUUUGACCUCGGAUCAGGUAGGGAUACCCGCGAACUUAAGCAUAUCAAUAAGCGGAGGA
rnacentral:rRNA from 1 species